AAGUAGUAUGUGAUUAUUCUUGAAACUUAAAAGAUUUGGCGGUAUUUUAUCUUAUUAGAGGAACCUGUGUAUUAAAUGAUAUUCCACGACUUAAUUUACUUUAUAAAAAAUAUUUGUAUACCGCUGUCAUGGAUAUAUUUCAAAGUUUAAUUUAAAAUAAUAUAAAUUUUAUGUUAGGUCAAGGUGCAGUAUAUUAAGGAUAUUAUGGGUUACUUUUAAAAUUAUGAAUGUAAGAAAGAGGAUUUAAAAGUAAGUUUAUUAAAGAAAUAUGUUGAAUAAAGAUUCUAAAAUAUG
rnacentral:rRNA from 1 species